rnacentral:rRNA from 1 species
AACGAACGCUGGCGGCAUGCCUAACACAUGCAAGUCGAACGAUGCCUUCGGGCAUAGUGGCGCACGGGUGCGUAACGCGUGGGAAUCUGCCUUUCGGUUCGGAAUAACUCAGGGAAACUUGAGCUAAUACCGGAUAACGUCGCAAGACCAAAGAUUUAUCACCGAAAGAUGAGCCCGCGUAGGAUUAGCUAGUUGGUGAGGUAAAGGCCCACCAAGGCGACGAUCCUUAGCUGGUCUGAGAGGAUGAUCAGCCACACUGGGACUGAGACACGGCCCAGACUCCUACGGGAGGCAGCAGUGGGGAAUAUUGGACAAUGGGCGAAAGCCUGAUCCAGCAAUGCCGCGUGAGUGAUGAAGGCCUUAGGGUUGUAAAGCUCUUUUACCCGGGAAGAUAAUGACGGUACCGGGAGAAUAAGCCCCGGCUAACUCCGUG